GAUGAACGCUGGCGGCGUGCCUAAUACAUGCAAGUCGAGCGAACAGACGAGGAGCUUGCUCCUCUGACGUUAGCGGCGGACGGGUGAGUAACACGUGGAUAACCUACCUAUAAGACUGGGAUAACUUCGGGAAACCGGAGCUAAUACCGGAUAAUAUCUUGAACCGCAUGGUUCAAUAGUGAAAGACGGUUUUGCUGUCACUUAUAGAUGGAUCCGCGCCGCAUUAGCUAGUUGGUAAGGUAACGGCUUACCAAGGCAACGAUGCGUAGCCGACCUGAGAGGGUGAUCGGCCACACUGGAGCUGAGACACGGUCCAGACUCCUACGGGAGGCAGCAGUAGGGUAUCUUCCGCAGUGGGCGAAAGCCUGACGGAGCAACGCCGCGUGAGUGAUGAAGAUCUUCGGAUCGUAAAGCUCUGUUAUUAGGGAAGAACAAAUGUGUAAGUAACUAUGCACGUCUUGACGGUACCUAAUCAGAAAGCCACGGCUAACUACGUG
rnacentral:rRNA from 1 species